rnacentral:rRNA from 1 species
UGCAGUCGAGCGGUAGCACAGAGAGCUUGCUCUCGGGUGACGAGCGGCGGACGGGUGAGUAAUGUCUGGGAAACUGCCUGAUGGAGGGGGAUAACUACUGGAAACGGUAGCUAAUACCGCAUAAUGUCGCAAGACCAAAGUGGGGGACCUUCGGGCCUCAUGCCAUCAGAUGUGCCCAGAUGGGAUUAGCUAGUAGGUGGGGUAACGGCUCACCUAGGCGACGAUCCCUAGCUGGUCUGAGAGGAUGACCAGCCACACUGGAACUGAGACACGGUCCAGACUCCUACGGGAGGCAGCAGUGGGGAAUAUUGCACAAUGGGCGCAAGCCUGAUGCAGCCAUGCCGCGUGUGUGAAGAAGGCCUUCGGGUUGUAAAGCACUUUCAGCGGGGAGGAAGGCGUUAAGGUUAAUAACCUUGGCGAUUGACGUUACCCGCAGAAGAAGCACCGGCUAACUCCGUGCCAGCAGCCGCGGUAAUACGGAGGGUGCAAGCGUUAAUCGGAAUUACUGGGCGUAAAGCGCACGCAGGCGGUCUGUCAAGUCGGAUGUGAAAUCCCCGGGCUCAACCUGGGAACUGCAUUCCAAACUGGCAGGCUAGAGUCUUGUAGAGGGGGGUAGAAUUCCAGGUGUAGCGGUGAAAUGCGUAGAGAUCUGGAGGAAUACCGGUGGCGAAGGCGGCCCCCUGGACAAAGACUGACGCUCAGGUGCGAAAGCGUGGGGAGCAAACAGGAUUAGAUACCCUGGUAGUCCACGCCGUAAACGAUGUCGAUUUGGAGGUUGUGCCCUUGAGGCGUGGCUUCCGGAGCUAACGCGUUAAAUCGACCGCCUGGGGAGUACGGCCGCAAGGUUAAAACUCAAAUGAAUUGACGGGGGCCCGCACAAGCGGUGGAGCAUGUGGUUUAAUUCGAUGCAACGCGAAGAACCUUACCUGGUCUUGACAUCCACAGAACUUAGCAGAGAUGCUUUGGUGCCUUCGGGAACUGUGAGACAGGUGCUGCAUGGCUGUCGUCAGCUCGUGUUGUGAAAUGUUGGGUUAAGUCCCGCAACGAGCGCAACCCUUAUCCUUUGUUGCCAGCGGUUAGGCCGGGAACUCAAAGGAGACUGCCAGUGAUAAACUGGAGGAAGGUGGGGAUGACGUCAAGUCAUCAUGGCCCUUACGACCAGGGCUACACACGUGCUACAAUGGCAUAUACAAAGAGAAGCGACCUCGCGAGAGCAAGCGGACCUCAUAAAGUAUGUCGUAGUCCGGAUUGGAGUCUGCAACUCGACUCCAUGAAGUCGGAAUCGCUAGUAAUCGUAGAUCAGAAUGCUACGGUGAAUACGUUCCCGGGCCUUGUACACACCGCCCGUCACACCAUGGGAGUGGGUUGCAAAAGAAGUAGGUAGCUUAACCUUCGGGAGGGCGC